ACACAGUGAUACAUGUCUUAUGGAGAUGGAUAUGCAAAGUGAAACAAUCAAGAAUCUUAUGCUAUUUUUAAUUCUGGAGUUGGAAGCACAAUUCUACAAAUUUGAUUAUUCUCCAUAUAGGCAAUUUAUAGUAAUCUAUUGAAUGGCAUUUGUACCUUUCAUUUGUUAAAUUCUAAUAGUUGAAGUGUUGAUUUAAGCUGUACAUAAUAAAUAAUUAUUUUAAAACAUUUAUUACAUAUAUGUAACAUUGAAAAUACAA